AGUUUUAACACCGUUACAAUUUUAUAUUUGGCAGUUUUAUUAAUUUAGGGUACAAUUCUAUUAAUUUCUAAUUAUGUGGUUAAGGACAUGGUAUAAUUUCACUGUUGUUUACAGGUAUUUUAAAAAGGGUGAGCAAUUAAUUUGGUCGGUACCCAUCACUUUAUUUUAUUAAAAAGAGUGAGCAAUCAACUUAUAACUUGAUCUGGAUCCUAGAAAAAUGAAUCAUGAAAUCUAUUGAUUGAUAUAUUUAUUCCUAAAAAAGGGGGGGAUGAGGAGGGAGGUGGGGAAAGUCAAGUUGCAGGUUGGCCAACCAUUUUCAUUGACUCUUGUCUCUUGGGCUCUGCAAAAUAAA
rnacentral:misc_RNA from 1 species